CAGGGAGACAACAAAAUGUUUAAUAUUAUUAUUUUGUCACCUUAGGUCGAUCGGUAUCUCACGUUUUUAAUUUAUUAAAAAUUUCAUUUCCUAAGUUUUCUAGGUCACACCCAUUAUUUUUCCUGGGCCAUUAGCUCAGGUGGUUAGAGCGCACCCCUGAUAAGGGUGAGGUCCCUGGUUCAAGUCCAGGAUGGCCCAUAUCUCUAUGUUGGGGGUACAGCUCAGUUGGUAGAGCGCCUGCUUUGCAAGCAGGAUGUCAGCGGUUCGAGUCCGCUUACCUCCACUGAUUACCACCUCUUACAUAUUCUGUGGAAAGGAAAAUUUUGAGUUGUGAUCAAAUUCUGAACGAAUCUAGCUUCCUAAUGAAAUCAUUAAGAUGCUGGACUCAUUGAAUUAAUUUCAUUGUUUUCAGAGAACCUUGGCAACUGCAUAGAUUAUUUUUAAAGACAAUAAGCAUCUUUGAUGAUGCAGAUUUAUUAUUUGUGCGAAUGCAUUAAUAACAAUUCUAUUAAGCUGAUGCUUCAA
rnacentral:tRNA from 1 species